AGUUGAGCUCUGGCAGAGAGAGCGAGUCAGGGUCAGCGAAGAGCGGAGCCCCGGGACCUCGUCCCCUGAGCUGCCAAUCGCCAGGACUCCCACACCCAGGAAGCGAGAAGCGGCAACUAUGCAGCAUUGGGAGCAGCAAGGCGAACAAGUCCAUGCUUCGUCUCGCAACGAGGGACGAAAUAUUAUUUUAGCUCUUGUGAACGGAAUCCUCAAUUGUACGCCUUGAAUUGUGAGAUUGCAGAGUGGCGAGAAGUGUGGAUAAAUAGGUUAGCAGCGUACUAUUACCGUGAACAUGGCUGUGAGCGAGUGUGGAGCCGGUGCAGCGGGGCUUUUCCCAGUUUCAAUGCAAGUUGGGCUUUUACCGCCAGAACGUGCGCCGGAUGCAUCGUGGGCGCAGAGGUUGAAUCGAAUCCAGAUAACAGGCCCCAACAGCUCCUAAUGGUAUUACAAUCUCAGUCAUCUAGGCCAAUGUCAGAAGAUCCUACAGGAGGGUGAACCCUUGGAAAGCGUCUGGAGCUGAUGGUAUACCUGGUCAUGUUCUUAAAACCUGUUCAGUCCAAAUAGCAGGUCUUUGUGGACUUCACCAUCCAGGUUCAGGAGCAGCUUCUUCCCUACAGCAACCAGGCUAUUAAACACUUCAACCUCCAAAUAAGCUCUGAGCUGCAUAGACUUAGGGAGCAUUGUUUUUUGUAUUUACACUAUUAUAAUUUGCUUGUUUUUUUAAUAUUGUGACACCCCCCCUCCCGUGGAAGCCGUGCUGAUCCCUAUAACUAACUAAUGAACCAGGAGAGGCCAAUCCCCAGCAUCAUUGGUAACUGUUGGGUCCAAUUAGCUGAUAUUGGUUGGCUACUUGAACCUUGUCAGCCUGCUCCUGAUAAAACUCAGGCAUUCCAGCCAGAGGGGAGAAAGAAGAGAUUGAGAAGAAGCAGGAGAAAAAGAGGAA